GUGAAUCAUCGAAUUUUUGAACGCAAAUUGCACUCUUUUCGAAGAGUAUGGCUGUUUGAGUGUCAGCCUAAAAAAAAUCUACAUAGUCGCUGUUGCGCGGUGACAUUCAUCGGCAAUUGGUUCAUCUUAAACCUUUUGGUGUUAAGCGGCUGAAAAUUUUCUUUACGAUUCCACGAACGUUUCUAAGAUUUGCUUACACGGUUAAGGUAUGUAUUUUUAUUAGACGUGGCCUUUUUAUCGUAU
rnacentral:misc_RNA from 1 species